rnacentral:lncRNA from 1 species
GUUGAGGAUUUCUGCAUCAGCCAUGGGCUGGAGCUGACAGUGCUUUCACAGGGGGCAGGCUGGGUGUUCCAUCUUUGCAGGACAUCCUUUGUGUGGCCCAGCUGUGAGACGCUGCCUCACUGGAGCAGGUGCUUCUGCUUUAGGGAAAACAGACCAUCGAUGGCCAGCAAAUGAUGUUUCCUGUGGACACACUAGACUACUGUUUGAACACUGUCCUGUAGAAGGCACAGACUGAGAUGCUGCGUCAACAGCGCAUGCCUGUCUUUGUGACUGGCUGCAUUAUAGAUCCUUCCGAGCCUGUGUGCCACGCUGGAAAGCUGGAUCUAAGAGUUAAGAUUUACUGGCUUAAAAGCGUGCGUGUCGUGGGAUUUCGAGGUGGCUCAGCUGGACAGGAGGUCUGCAAUGACAGACAGCUCAAAACUCAGUCCACACCUGGUGGUGUGAUGGGAAGCUCCUGGCAGACAAAGACCCUAAAGCCAGUUCUUCGCCUGUGUCACACCUACAGUGACAGAGCAUGUCACCGGACUUAGCAAGGAGACCUUGGCUCUUUGGUUCCUUUGCACCACAGCCUUCGGUUUACCUGCCUCCUAUCCCAGCUCUCCACCUCUGCCUCAGUCUCCUCAUUUGCACCUGGGACAUGUUUUCCCAAGUGUCGGGACAAAGAGAACAGGCAGCAACCGUGGAGAAACCCACUUUCUCUCCGGGCCACUGGCCCAAGAGGAGCUGAACACUUGGCAAGCAGGCACCAAGCCCCGUGGGCACCUAGUUGUCUUCUACAGACUCAGGUCCUAGAGAGAGUUUCUGGGUGGAACUGAACAGCA